rnacentral:rRNA from 1 species
UACGAAGGGGGCUAGCGUUGUUCGGAAUCACUGGGCGUAAAGCGUACGUAGGCGGAUCGUUAAGUCGGGGGUGAAAUCCUGGAGCUCAACUCCAGAACUGCCUCCGAUACUGGCGGUCUUCGAGUCCGGGAGAGGUGAGUGGAACUCCUAGUGUAGAGGUGAAAUUCGUAGAUAUUAGGAAGAACACCAGUGGCGAAGGCGGCUCACUGGCCCGGUACUGACGCUGAGGUACGAAAGCGUGGGGAGCAAACAGG